AGUAACGGCGAGUGAAGCGGCAACAGCUCAAAUUUGAAAUCUGGCACCCGCCCGAGUUGUAAUUUGCAGAGGAGGCUUUGGAGUCGCCCCGGUCCAAGUUCCUUGGAACAGGACGUCGCAGAGGGUGAGAAUCCCGUACGUGGCCGGAUGGCUUCUCCGUAUAAAGCCCCUUCGACGAGUCGAGUUGUUUGGGA
rnacentral:rRNA from 1 species